rnacentral:tRNA from 1 species
CACUAAGAAGCUAAACAGGGCUAUAGCGUCAGCCUUUUAAGCUGAAGAUUGGUGCCCCCCAACCACCCGUAGUGA